GAUGAACGCUGGCGGCGUGCCUAAUACAUGCAAGUCGAGCGAAGCGGGGACGGGUGAGUAACACGUGGAGAACCUCCUAUAAGACUGGGGUAACCUCGGGAAACCGGUGCUAAACCGGCUACUUAUAGCAGGAUCCGCGGUGCAUUAGCUAGUUGGGAAGGUAACGGCUUACAAAGGCAACGAUUCAUAGCCGACCUGGGCGGGUGAUCGGCCACACUGGAACUGAGACACGGUCCAGACUCCUACGGGAGGCAGCAGUGGGGAAUCUUCCGCAAUGGGCGCAAGCCUGACGGAGCCACGCCGCGUGAAUGAUGAAGGUCUUCGGGUCGUAAAACUCUGUUGUUAGCGAGGCGUUACCUAAACAGAAAGCACCGGCUAACUACGUGCCAGCAGCCGCGGUAAUAC
rnacentral:rRNA from 1 species